rnacentral:rRNA from 1 species
CCUACGGGAGGCAGCAGUAGGGAAUUUUCGUCAAUGGGCGCAAGCCUGAACGAGCAAUGCCGCGUGAACGAGGAAGGUCUUCGGAUCGUAAAGUUCUGUUGAAGGGGAAAAAGAGCGGAGAGAGGAAAUGCUUUCUGAUUGAUAUUACCCUUCGAGGAAGUCACGGCUAACUACGUGCCAGCAGCCGCGGUAAUACGUAGUUGGCGAGCGUUAUCCGGAAUGAUGGGGCGUAAAGGGUGCGUAGGCGGCCUGCUAAGUCGGGAGUGAAAGGUACCGGCUCAACCGGUACAGGCUCUGGAAACUGGCGGGCUAGAGAGCAGGAGAGGGCGGUGGAACUCCAUGUGUAGCGGUAAAAUGCGUAGAUAUAUGGAAGAACACCAGUGGCGAAGGCGGCCGCCUGGCCUGUUACUGACGCUGAGGCACGAAAGCGUGGGGAGCAAACAGGAUUAGAUACCCUUGUAGUC